CAGUAGCCACGGGAAUACGUAGGUGGCAAGCGUUGUCCGGAUUUAUUGGGCGUAAAGCGAGCGCAGGCGGUCAAUUAAGUCUGAUGUGAAAGCCCACGGCUCAACCGUGGAGGGUCAUUGGAAACUGUUAAACUUGAGUGCAGGAGAGAAAAGUGGAAUUCCUAGUGUAGCGGUGAAAUGCGUAGAGAUUAGGAGGAACACCAGUGGCGAAGGCGGCUUUUUGGCCUGUAACUGACACUGAGGCGCGAAAGCGUGGGGAGCAAACAGGAUUAGAUACCCCCGUAGUCCCUGUCUCUUAUAC
rnacentral:rRNA from 1 species